rnacentral:rRNA from 1 species
UACAGAGGGUGCGAGCGUUAAUCGGAGUUACUGGGCGUAAAGGGCGCGUAGGCGGUUUGAUGGGUGAGAUGUGAAAGCCCUGGGCUUAACCUGGGACGUGCAUUUUAAACUAUCGAGCUGGAGUAUAUGAGAGGGUGGCGGAAUUUCCGGUGUAGCGGUGAAAUGCGUAGAGAUCGGAAGGAACGUCGAUGGCGAAGGCAGCCACCUGGCAUAAUACUGACGCUGAGGCGCGAAAGCGUGGGGAGCGAACAGG